rnacentral:rRNA from 1 species
GUAGUCCUGGCUGUAAACGAUGUCGACUUGGAGGUUGUGCCCUUGAGGCGUGGCUUCCGGAGCUAACGCGUUAAGUCGACCGCCUGGGGAGUACGGCCGCAAGGUUAAAACUCAAAUGAAUUGACGGGGGCCCGCACAAGCGGUGGAGCAUGUGGUUUAAUUCGAUGCAACGCGAAGAACCUUACCUGGUCUUGACAUCCACGGAAGUUUUCAGAGAUGAGAAUGUGCCUUCGGGAACCGUGAGACAGGUGCUGCAUGGCUGUCGUCAGCUCGUGUUGUGAAAUGUUGGGUUAAGUCCCGCAACGAGCACAACCCUUAUCCUUUGUUGCCAGCGGUCCGGCCGGGAACUCAAAGGAGACUGCCAGUGAUAAACUGGAGGAAGGUGGGGAUGACGUCAAGUCAUCAUGGCCCUUACGACCAGGGCUACACACGUGCUACAAUGGCGCAUACAAAGAGAAGCGACCUCGCGAGAGCAAGCGGACCUCAUAAAGUGCGUCGUAGUCCGGAUUGGAGUCUGCAACUCGACUCCAUGAAGUCGGAAUCGCUAGUAAUCGUGGAUCAGAAUGCCACGGUGAAUACGUUCCCGGGCCUUGUACACACCGCCCGUCACACCAUGGGAGUGGGUUGCAAAAGAAGUAGGUAGCUUAACCUUCGGGAGGGCGCUUACCACUUUGUGAUUCAUGACUGGGGUGAAGUCGUAACAAGGUAACCGUAAGGGAACCUGCGGCUGGAUCACCUCC